rnacentral:rRNA from 1 species
AUUGAACGCUGGCGGCAGGCCUAACACAUGCAAGUCGGACGGUAGCACAGAGGAGCUUGCUCCUCGGGUGACGAGUGGCGGACGGGUGAGUAAUGUCUGGGGAUCUGCCCGAUAGAGGGGGAUAACCACUGGAAACGGUGGCUAAUACCGCAUAACGUCGCAAGACCAAAGAGGGGGACCUUCGGGCCUCUCACUAUCGGAUGAACCAAGAUGGGAUUAGCUAGUAGGCGGGGUAAUGGCCCACCUAGGCGACGAUCCCUAGCUGGUCUGAGAGGAUGACCAGCCACACGGGAACUGAGACACGGUCCAGACUCCUACGGGAGGCAGCAGUGGGGAAUAUUGCACAAUGGGCGCAAGCCUGAUGCAGCCAUGCCGCGUGUAUGAAGAAGGCCUUCGGGUUGUAAAGUACUUUCAGCGGGGAGGAAGGCGAUGUGGUUAAUAACCUUGUCGAUUGACGUUACCCGCAGAAGAAGCACCGGCUAACUCCGUGCCAGCCGCCGCAGUAA